rnacentral:rRNA from 1 species
UACGAGGGGGGCGAGCGUUGUUCGGAAUUAUUGGGCGUAAAGGGCGCGUAGGCGGUCGGAUAAGUCUUGUGUGAAAUCUUCGGGCUCAACUCGAAGUCUGCACAGGAAACUAGCUGGCUUGAGUGUGGGAGAGGUGAGUGGAAUUCCUGGUGUAGCGGUGAAAUGCGUAGAUAUCAGGAGGAACACCUGUGGCGAAAGCGGCUCACUGGACCACAACUGACGCUGAGGCGCGAAAGCUAGGGGAGCAAACAGG